rnacentral:hammerhead_ribozyme from 1 species
AUGCAGUUGACGCGUCCGAAAUAGGACGAAACGUGUGUCCUGGAU